rnacentral:tRNA from 1 species
UUUUUACUCAGUGGUAGAGUAAAGCCAUGGUAAGGCGUAAGUCAUCGGUUCAAAUCCGAUAAUGGACU